UCUCCGUUGGUGAACCAGCGGAGGGAUCAUUGCUGGAACGCGCCCCAGGCGCACCCAGAAACCCUUUGUGAACUUAUACCUUACUGUUGCCUCGGCGCAUGCCGGCCCCCCUGGGGGCCCCUCCUUCUGGAGGAGCAGGCACGCCGGCGGCCAACCUAACUCUUGUUUUUACACUGAAACUCUGAGAAUAAAACAUAAAUGAAUCAAAACUUUCAACAACGGAUCUCUUGGUUCUGGCAUCGAUGAAGAACGCAGCGAAAUGCGAUAAGUAAUGUGAAUUGCAGAAUUCAGUGAAUCAUCGAAUCUUUGAACGCACAUUGCGCCCUCUGGUAUUCCGGAGGGCAUGCCUGUUCGAGCGUCAUUUCAACCCUCAAGCCUGGCUUGGUGAUGGGGCACUGCCUGUAAAAGGGCAGGCCCUGAAAUUCAGUGGCGAGCUCGCCAGGACCCCGAGCGCAGUAGUUAAACCCUCGCUUUGGAAGGCCCUGGCGGUGCCCUGCCGUUAAACCCCCAACUUCUGAAAAUUUGACCUCGGAUCAGGUAGGAAUACCCGCUGAACUUAA
rnacentral:rRNA from 1 species